rnacentral:rRNA from 1 species
AGAGUUUGAUCAUGGCUCAGGAUGAACGCUAGCUACAGGCUUAACACAUGCAAGUCGAGGGGAAACGACAUCGAAAGCUUUGCUUUUGAUGGGCGUCGACCGGCGCACGGGUGAGUAACGCGUAUCCAACCUGCCCACCACUUGGGGAUAACCUUGCGAAAGUAGACUAAUACCCAAUGACGUCUCUAGAAGACAUCUGAAAGAGAUUAAAGAUUUAUCGGUGAUGGAUGGGGAUGCGUCUGAUUAGCUUGUUGGCGGGGUAACGCCACCAAGGCUACGAUCAGUAGGGGUUCUGGAGAGGAAGGUCCCCCANAUUGGAACUGAGACACGGUCCAAACUCCUACGGGAGGCA